rnacentral:rRNA from 1 species
GAGGAAAAGAAACUAACAAGGAUUCCCCUAGUAACUGCGAGUGAACCGGGAAAAGCUCAAAUUUUGAAUCUGGCGGUCCAAGGGCCGUCCGAGUUGUAAUCUAGAGAAGCGUCUUCCGCGCUGGACCGUGUAUAAGUUUCCUGGAAUGGAACGUCGUAGAGGGUGACAAUCCCGUCUUUGACACGGACUCCCAGUGCUAUGUGAUGCGCUCUCGACGAGUCGAGUUGUUUGGGAAUGCAGCUCAAAUAGGGUGGUAAAUUCCAUCUAAAGCUAAAUACAGGCGAGAGACCGAUAGCGAACAAGUACCGUGAGGGAAAGAUGAAAAGAACUUUGGAAAGAGAGUUAAACAGUACGUGAAAUUGCUGAAAGGGAAACGCUUGAUGUCAGUCGCAUCGUCCGGGGAUCAGCCUCGCUCUUUUGCUCGGCGUACUUCCUGGUCGAUGGGUCAGCAUCGGUUUCGACCGUCGGAAAAUGGCUCGAGGAACGUGGCACUCUUCGGGGUGUGUUAUAGCCUCGAGUCGAAUACGACGGUCGGGACCGAGGAACUCAGCACGACCUUCGGGUUCGGGGCUUCGGCUCACGUUCGCGUGCUUAGGAUGCUGGCAUAAUGGCCUUAAGCGACCCGUC